UUUCAAGUAUCUAUGAGUUUUUUCUAUUCUGUAUAACAUGUGAAAGCUCACCUCUCAAAAUGACAAGAAGGAAAGAUGGAGCUGAGGGUCGGCUUGGCCAUGACACCUUUCCAUUGCAUUUCUUGCCAACCUCCCUCAGGAUCCUUGUCACGACAGUCUGGUUUCAUCACAGCAUUUUACUCCAUGGCUCCUGAUGAAGUCAGUUGAGGAAGCUGCUUUUAAAAAGGUGCAACUACUUUCCUUUCAGCUGGAGAAUGCUGAUGGCACAAGAGACGGCAAAGAUUUUUCCUUGCGAGCUGUGAGGUUCGGUGUGGUCUUUGAACAGCUUCCUGUAGAUUUUCCUCCUGCGUGCGUUGGAUUAAGGCUACAGUAGAUUGUCGACAGCAAAGCAGGUGUAGCAUCAGCUCCAAAUGGGCAAGGACCUUCCAGCAAACAGCAUCUGUCACCCCAAGCAUGAAUGAGCCAUAUGCCAACAGUCCCAAAGAGCAUGUGUUGUACAGACAGGAACGCUCAUAUAUACUUGAAAAUGUUUUCAUGGCCUUUCCAGUGCUACAAAAACCUGUUGCAUGUUAAUUUCAUUGUGAUAUUUGCCCUUUAAUGAGAUUAUCUGGUACCAGUGUUUUUCUUCUUUGACCAUCUUUUAGAAGCCAAAAUUCCACAAAGGAAUAAUUCACAUUUAUGAACUCUCAGAUAAAAGCAAUUAAACAUGAAGCUUCAUCAUACAGCUUUUACACUGGAGUAAGAAUUCCCAUAGCAAAAAUGGUGUUUCUGCUUGUUUGUGAAAUUACCUUCAUUUAAAGUAGUAAUUUGAUGUUGAGAAGAAAGGCAAACAAUUACAGCAAACACUCUCUGUGGUACAAGUACGUUCAUGCUUUUUCUGCCAUCUGACUGCAAAGACAAUAUUUACAUAUGCAUACAAAUCAUAUCACAUAUUGAACCAGUGUUAGAACUGCAAAUAUUAAAGCUGCAAUGAUAUUUUGUUGAUAUUUUAAACACUUGAUGAUGAGGAAAUGCCAAGGCAUUGACAAAACAGCUGGUUGUCAGGUGUUUUGCAGGGCUCAUCUUCAGGAAGUCGAUUUCUGAACAUCUGCAGAUAUUAAGCGUCAGGAAAUCUAUUUCAUCGGCUCCUUUCUAACAAAGCCCAGUAUCACCCAACAGGGCAUGACAGAGAGAUCCAUCCUGGUAGUCAAUGUAUUUUUUAAUUAUUUUCUUCCUGAGGAGCAGAUAAUGCUCUAGGAACAUAAAGAGCAGCACAGAAAGUCCCUCUGCUUUCAGUAGCAAGUUGCAUGUUGAGAUGACAAUGGAGACGAUUAUCACAGUACACAUGUUGUUGCCAUUUAAUUAUUCCCCUUCCUGUAAAAAGUCUGGCUUUAAUUAAAUGUCAAAAUAAAGUGAGAACUUUUCUCCAAGCCA